AACGAACGCUGGCGGCAUGCCUAACACAUGCAAGUCGAACGAGACCUUCGGGUCUAGUGGCGCACGGGUGCGUAACGCGUGGGAACCUGCCCUUAGGUUCGGAAUAACUCCCCGAAAGGGGUGCUAAUACGGGAUAAUGUCUUCGGACCAAAGAUUUAUCGCCUUUGGAUGGGCCCGCGUUGGAUUAGCUAGUUGGUAGGGUAAAAGCCUACCAAGGCGACGAUCCAUAGCUGGUCUGAGAGGAUGAUCAGCCACACUGGGACUGAGACACGGCCCAGACUCCUACGGGAGGCAGCAGUGGGGAAUAUUGGACAAUGGGCGAAAGCCUGAUCCAGCAAUGCCGCGUGAGUGAUGAAGGCCUUAGGGUUGUAAAGCUCUUUUACCCGGGAUGAUAAUGACAGUACCGGGAGAAUAAGCGCCGGCUAACUCCGUG
rnacentral:rRNA from 1 species